rnacentral:rRNA from 1 species
UGUUAGCUUUCGUAGGUGACCUGCGGAAGGUCAUUACCGAGUGCGGGUUCCAACGAGCCCAACCUCCCACCCGUGUCUACCGUUACCGCGUUGCCUCGGCGGGCCCACUGGGGCCUGGCCCCGGUCGCCGGGGGGCUUCUGCCCCCGGGCCCGCGCCCGCCGAAGCACCCUAGAACCCUGUCUGAACAGUGAGUCUGAGUCGGAUAUUGAAUCAUUAAAACUUUCAACAACGGAUCUCUUGGUUCCGGCAUCGAUGAAGAACGCAGCGAAAUGCGAUAAGUAAUGUGAAUUGCAGAAUUCCGUGAAUCAUCGAAUCUUUGAACGCACAUUGCGCCCCCUGGCAUUCCGGGGGGCAUGCCUGUCCGAGCGUCAUUUCUGCCCUCCAGCACGGCUGGGUGUUGGGCGCUGUCCCCCCGGGGACACGCCCCAAAAGCAGUGGCGGCGCCGCGUCGGGUCCUCGAGCGUAUGGGGCUUUGUCACCCGCUCGGGAGGGACUCGGUCGGCGCUGGUCUUCCUCCAGGCGACCCUUCGGGGUUCGCCUCUUCCGGUUGACCUCGGAUCAGGUAGGGCUACCCGCUGAACUUAAGCAUAUCAAA